GUCGUUACUGAUUACUGUUGCCUCUCUGUGUCUCAGGUCAUUUAAGCCAAUAGCAGAAUGGAGCAACAGCACAAACACGGUCCAGAGGUCCAGUUCAGGGACUCCAGGUAGCUGAGGUGAAGCCUAGCAGGCAGCUAGCAGCUACAGCCGCCUGUGUCACCGUUCACCUGUCAGUCAGAGAGGCCACGCCCAUAAUAAUGCAAACUGCAAACUAGGUGAGUAUAAAAACAUUGUUCUAAAGUUUGUCUAUGGGGACUGACUCACUGCUGCCUCUGCUGGACAGACUGCAGCUAUCUGAGUUCUUCUCCGUCUGGUCUUGAAACUCGGGUCCAAGUUCUGUGUAAACAAAUCUUAUUUUUCCGCAAAUGUGCAUCUAUGCCUGAGUUAAAUAUUCACGAUCUCUCUCUGCACUAAAGCUUCAGUCUUGUUCCCGUAAAGCUGUAACUCAGUGACUUCAGUGCUUUGGAGCGUUUGUGGAACAUCUGCGUCACCACGGCUCAGACUCAUGGACUGCUUUUCCAGCACCUGUUGUCCUCUGACAGUCAGAAGCAAUCAAGAACCACGUGUAUGCCUCAUGCUCUUCGGCUCGCCCUUCGUUUUGUCUGUCUCAUUGUUUGAUGGACUGCUACUGUCUGUUCCCAGCGUGCAGACCAGAGCUGAUGUGAAGAACAGCUGGAUCAGAGGGAGGGAGGGAAAAUCCCUGCGAUGCAACGUGGCGUUUUCCAUUCUGCGAGGAAGCCACAGUCCAGCUGCAGAUGGAGAGAAAAGAGGGGAGGAGCUGUUGUUACUCUUCAGUCUGCCCACCUUUUCUUCUUUUCUUCCCUCCCUUCUCUCUGCAAACGUGGCAGUCGUCUCUCUGUGUCUGAUGAAACAUGUCAUUAUUUUUCCUCUGCUGCUAAAUCAUCCACAAGUAGCUCUGCAGGUCUGAAGAUGUGAGGAUUUAAACGCCCCUGUAAUGUGGCAGCAUUAUUAAAAAGGAUUAUGGAAACACACCCAUCUGUGUGCCACGUAGUGAAACAAAGAAACACUCACAGAAGUAUCUGAGGUCUGUGAUUGGCUGAUAGCUGUGUUAUUUUUUUUAAAUAAUCCCUGUGAUUUAUUAUUG
ensembl:lncRNA